rnacentral:rRNA from 1 species
GAUGAACGCUAGCUACAGGCUUAACACAUGCAAGUCGCGGGGCAGCAUGGGGGUUGCUUGCAAUCCCUGAUGGCGACCGGCGCACGGGUGAGUAACGCGUAUCCAACCUGCCCUUCACCACGGGAUAACCCGGCGAAAGUCGGACUAAUACCGUAUGUUGUCCAUUGACGGCAUCCGAUUUGGACGAAAGGCUUAGCGGUGAGGGAUGGGGAUGCGUCCGAUUAGCUUGACGGCGGGGUAACGGCCCACCGUGGCUACGAUCGGUAGGGGUUCUGAGAGGAAGGUCCCCCACACUGGAACUGAGACACGGUCCAGACUCCUACGGGAGGCAGCAGUGAGGAAUAUUGGUCAAUGGGCGUAAGCCUGAACCAGCCAAGUAGCGUGCAGGAUGACGGCCCUAUGGGUUGUAAACUGCUUUUAUGCGGGGAUAAAGGGACCCACGUGUGGGUUUUGGCAGGUACCGCAGGAAUAAGGACCGGCUAAUUCCGG